UGUCUUUUUGAAAAUAAUAUAAAGUCUAAUCUGCCCACUGAUUUAAUAUUAAAGGGCUGCAGUAUAUUGACUGUACAAAGGUAGCAUAAUCAUUAGUCAUUUAAUUGAUGACUUGUAUGAAGGAUUGGAUGAAAUAUAAACUGUCUCUUAAUUAUAUUUAGAAUUUAAUUUUUUAAUUAAAAAGUUAAAAUGAAUUAAAAAGACGAGAAGACCCUAUAGAGUUUUAUAAUUAAAUUAAUUGAGAUUUUUUGUAAGAUUAAAAUUAAAAUUAAUUUAUUUAUUUUGUUGGGGUGACAGAAAAAUAUGGAGAACUUUUUUUUUAUUAUUACAUAAAUAAGUGAUUAAAUGAUCCAAUAUUAUUGAUUAUAAGAAAAAAUUACCUUAGGGAUAACAGCGUAAUUUUUUUUUUUAGUUCAUAUAAAAAAAAAAGUUUGCGACCUCGAUGUUGGAUUAAGAUAAAAUUUAAAUGCAGAAG
rnacentral:rRNA from 1 species